rnacentral:rRNA from 1 species
GACGAACGCUGGCGGCGUGCUUAACACAUGCAAGUCGAACGGAAAGGCCCUGCUUUUGUGGGGUGCUCGAGUGGCGAACGGGUGAGUAACACGUGAGUAACCUGCCCUUGACUUUGGGAUAACUUCAGGAAACUGGGGCUAAUACCGGAUAGGAGCUCCUGCUGCAUGGUGGGGGUUGGAAAGUUUCGGCGGUUGGGGCUGGACUCGCGGCUUAUCAGCUUGUUGGUGGGGUAGUGGCUUACCAAGGCUUUGACGGGUAGCCGGCCUGAGAGGGUGACCGGCCACAUGGGGACUGAGAUACGGCCCAGACUCGUACGUGAGGCAGCAGUGGGGAAUAUUGCGCAAUGGGCGGAAGCCUGAUGCAGCGACGCCGCGUGCGGGAUGACGGCCUUCGGGGUGUAAACCGCUUUCGCCUGUGACGAAGCGUGAGUGACGGUAAUGGGUAAAGAAGCACCGGCUAACUACGUG